rnacentral:misc_RNA from 1 species
GUUUGAGCAUCAAGAUAUAACCUACAAUUGCAAAGUUGGUUUACAGACAUGAGAGAGUAAAAAGUAGGUAUUAAGCUUUAACUAACAUCCUAGCAUUCUUGCCAUGUCUCUAGUGCUUCCUUUUUCUUUUCUUCUAUCAGUGAGUUGGGAUUUUUUUUUUAAAUUACAAAAAACUUUUCUUUUCUUUUAUUAAUCACUCAAAAGAAAUAAUUCAUAUUUAAGUAUCAUAAAAAGCCUUCUUAUUUGAGUAGCCAAUCAUGACUGACUGGCAAAUCUUCAAAAGAAUAGCAAAAUUAUAAACCUACCACCACCCACUCAUUUCCU